rnacentral:rRNA from 1 species
AGCGUACACGGUGGAUGCCCUGGCAGUCAGAGGCGAUGAAGGACGUGCUAAUCUGCGAAAAGCGCCGGUAAGGUGAUAUGAACCGUUAUAACCGGCGAUGUCCGAAUGGGGAAACCCGGUGCACUUCGGUGCAUCAUCGUUAGCUGAAUACAUAGGCUAACGAGGCGAACCGGGGGAACUGAAACAUCUAAGUACCCCGAGGAAAAGAAAUCAACCGAGAUUCCCCCAGUAGCGGCGAGCGAACGGGGAACAGCCCAGAGCCUGAAUCAGCUUGUGUGUCAGUGGAACGGUCUGGAAAGGCCGGCGAUACAGGGUGACAGCCCCGUACACGAAGGCACACAGGCUGUGAGCUCGAUGAGUAGGGCGGGACACGUGAUAUCCUGUCUGAAGAUGGGGGGACCAUCCUCCAAGGCUAAAUACUCCUGACUGACCGAUAGUGAACCAGUACCGUGAGGGAAAGGCGAAAAGAACCCCGGCGAGGGGAGUGAAACAGAACCUGAAACCGUGUACGUACAAGCAGUGGGAGCCUUCGUAAGAGGGUGACUGCGUACCUUUUGUAUAAUGGGUCAGCGACUUAUAUUCUGUAGCAAGGUUAACCGUAUAGGGGAGCCGAAGGGAAACCGAGUCUUAACCGGGCGUUAAGUUGCAGGGUAUAGACCCGAAACCCGGUGAUCUAGCCAUGGGCAGGUUGAAGGUUGGGUAACACUAACUGGAGGACCGAACCGACUAAUGUUGAAAAAUUAGCGGAUGACCUGUGGCUGGGGGUGAAAGGCCAAUCAAACCGGGAGAUAGCUGGUUCUCCCCGAAAGCUAUUUAGGUAGCGCCUCGUGAACUCAUCUCCGGGGGUAGAGCACUGUUUCGGCUAGGGGGCCAUCCCGGCUUACCAACCCGAUGCAAACUGCGAAUACCGGAGAAUGUUAUCACGGGAGACACACGGCGGGUGCUAACGUCCGUCGUGAAGAGGGAAACAACCCAGACCGCCAGCUAAGGUCCCAAAGUCAUGGUUAAGUGGGAAACGAUGUGGGAAGGCCCAGACAGCCAGGAUGUUGGCUUAGAAGCAGCCAUCAUUUAAAGAAAGCGUAAUAGCUCACUGGUCGAGUCGGCCUGCGCGGAAGAUGUAACGGGGCUAAACCAUGCACCGAAGCUGCGGCAGCGACGCUUAUGCGUUGUUGGGUAGGGGAGCGUUCUGUAAGCCUGUGAAGGUGUGCUGUGAGGCAUGCUGGAGGUAUCAGAAGUGCGAAUGCUGACAUAAGUAACGAUAAAGCGGGUGAAAAGCCCGCUCGCCGGAAGACCAAGGGUUCCUGUCCAACGUUAAUCGGGGCAGGGUGAGUCGACCCCUAAGGCGAGGCCGAAAGGCGUAGUCGAUGGGAAACAGGUUAAUAUUCCUGUACUUGGUGUUACUGCGAAGGGGGGACGGAGAAGGCUAUGUCGGCCGGGCGACGGUUGUCCCGGUUUAAGCGUGUAGGCUGACUUUCCAGGCAAAUCCGGAAGGUUAAGGCUGAGGCGUGAUGACGAGGCACCACGGUGCUGAAGUGACAAAUGCCCUGCUUCCAGGAAAAGCCUCUAAGCAUCAGGUAACAUCAAAUCGUACCCCAAACCGACACAGGUGGUCAGGUAGAGAAUACCAAGGCGCUUGAGAGAACUCGGGUGAAGGAACUAGGCAAAAUGGUGCCGUAACUUCGGGAGAAGGCACGCUGACAUGUAGGUGAAGCCCCUGCGGGUGGAGCUGAAGUCAGUCGAAGAUACCAGCUGGCUGCAACUGUUUAUUAAAAACACAGCACUGUGCAAACACGAAAGUGGACGUAUACGGUGUGACGCCUGCCCGGUGCCGGAAGGUUAAUUGAUGGGGUUAUCGCAAGAGAAGCUCCUGAUCGAAGCCCCGGUAAACGGCGGCCGUAACUAUAACGGUCCUAAGGUAGCGAAAUUCCUUGUCGGGUAAGUUCCGACCUGCACGAAUGGCGUAAUGAUGGCCAGGCUGUCUCCACCCGAGACUCAGUGAAAUUGAACUCGCUGUGAAGAUGCAGUGUACCCGCGGCAAGACGGAAAGACCCCGUGAACCUUUACUACAGCUUGACACUGAACAUUGAGCCUUGAUGUGUAGGAUAGGUGGGAGGCUUUGAAGCGUGGACGCCAGUCUGCGUGGAGCCGACCUUGAAAUACCACCCUUUAAUGUUUGAUGUUCUAACCUGGCGCCGUAAUCCGGCGUGGGGACAGUGUCUGGUGGGUAGUUUGACUGGGGCGGUCUCCUCCCAAAGUGUAACGGAGGAGCACGAAGGUCAGCUAAUCCUGGUCGGACAUCAGGAGGUUAGUGCAAUGGCAUAAGCUGGCUUGACUGCGAGAGUGACGGCUCGAGCAGGUGCGAAAGCAGGUCAUAGUGAUCCGGUGGUUCUGUAUGGAAGGGCCAUCGCUCAACGGAUAAAAGGUACUCCGGGGAUAACAGGCUGAUACCGCCCAAGAGUUCAUAUCGACGGCGGUGUUUGGCACCUCGAUGUCGGCUCAUCACAUCCUGGGGCUGAAGUAGGUCCCAAGGGUAUGGCUGUUCGCCAUUUAAAGUGGUACGCGAGCUGGGUUUAGAACGUCGUGAGACAGUUCGGUCCCUAUCUGCCGUGGGCGCUGGAGAAUUGAGGGGGGCUGCUCCCAGUACGAGAGGACCGGAGUGGACGCAUCACUGGUGUUCGGGUUGUCAUGCCAAUGGCACUGCCCGGUAGCUAAAUGCGGAAGAGAUAAGUGCUGAAAGCAUCUAAGCACGAAACUUGCCCCGAGAUGAGUUCU